rnacentral:rRNA from 1 species
ACUCCUACGGGAGGCAGCAGUAGGGAAUCUUCCACAAUGGGCGCAAGCCUGAUGGAGCAACACCGCGUGAGUGAAGAAGGGUUUCGGCUCGUAAAGCUCUGUUGUUAAAGAAGAACACGUAUGAGAGUAACUGUCCAUACGUUGACGGUAUUUAACCAGAAAGUCACGGCUAACUACGUGCCAGCAGCCGCGGUAAUACGUAGGUGGCAAGCGUUAUCCGGAUUUAUUGGGCGUAAAGAGAGUGCAGGCGGUUUUCUAAGUCUGAUGUGAAAGCCUUCGGCUUAACCGGAGAAGUGCAUCGGAAACUGGAUAACUUGAGUGCAGAAGAGGGUAGUGGAACUCCAUGUGUAGCGGUGGAAUGCGUAGAUAUAUGGAAGAACACCAGUGGCGAAGGCGGCUACCUGGUCUGCAACUGACGCUGAGACUCGAAAGCAUGGGUAGCGAACAGGAUUAGAUACCCUGGUAGGAUAGCG